UAACAGUACAUCCUUGAAAAAAUUCCUAUAAAAUGUUGCGAUUUAAGAAAUAUUGUUUUGAACCUACAUCACUUGCGCUAUGAGCGUUUUUCUCAAGCCUGCUAAUAAUAUACACAUUCUAUGAAGAGUAAAUCUCUUAUACUGCUACUCCCACUUCUAGCUGACUUCGUGGAUAUGCGUGGGCAUGUGCAAUAUUUAGUGUGAAUUAAUAUCAGAUAUCGCGCACCUUUUAAUCAUCUGCAGGCCUCCGUGAGAGUGUCUCUCAUUACUCGAGUUCUAACGUAGUAUAUUAUUCUUUCUGAUUGCGGCUUGUUUUGAUUGUAUACAAUGAGUAGAAGUCGGAUGCUUGCAGUAUAAGGGCGAUUUCAAUAGGAAGAGAGUCGAAGCUAAUUCACCAUGGACGGGUCAAGAAGACAGGCAAAAUCAAUAAAUUAUGGAAGAUGAUGAAUGUCAAGAUAUUGAAAGGGAUGCUGCCAGAAAAUACAGUGAACAGUCAUCAAGAGUUUGACAAAAAUCUUUUUAGUAGCUCUGUAAAUCAUUUUAUCAUACAUAUGUCUGAUACUUGUGACACACUAUUUGGAACCUUUAGUGUAGUAAUGAAUAUUACUAAAGUUUAGUCCCAACACCAAACCGUUAUCUGUUUAAUUUUCCUCUUGAAGAUGAUCACUAGGUGAUUGAAACGCGUGUGGAGGUGUUAGAAACAACGGUUUGUUGUUGGGACUAAACUCCAGUAGUAUUCAUAUGUCAGAUUUUUUUUUGAUAAUUUGUAUCUUUUAGCGUAUGUUUACCUAAAUAGUUUGUAUCUAGAUUUAAAUUCGAAAGAUAUAUACUCGUUAUUUUUUUUUCUUGUGUUCAUAUUGUUGCACAAGUUUAUUUUUGUUGUAUACACUAUUCUGGCAGUUUUAUUUAGUAUUCGUAUCAUAAAAUAAACCCUUCCACAUUA